AAGCGUUAUCCGGAAUUAUUGGGCGUAAAGCGCGCGUAGCGGUUUUUAAGUCUGAUGUGAAAGCCCACGGCUCAACCGUGGAGGGUCAUUGGAAACUGGAAAACUUGAGUGCAGAAGAGGAAAGUGGAAUCCAUGUGUAGCGGUGAAAUGCGCAGAGAUAUGGAGGAACACCAGUGGCGAAGGCGACUUUCUGGUCUGUAACUGACGCUGAUGUGCGAAAGCGUGGGGAUCAAACAGGAUUAGAUACCC
rnacentral:rRNA from 1 species